rnacentral:lncRNA from 1 species
GCCAUAGACGGCGUCCAGCCUCUUCGUUUUCGACAUCAUCUUCCGGAUCCACCACCGUGGCACUAGCAAAUCGAGGUAAGGUAGCUGUUGUUCUACUAGUCUAUUCCUAUUGAAAAAAAAGGAAAAAAGGAUAAAUUUUAGUAGAAUUUUAUGAUUUCAGCAUCCUGUGGAACAAAACGAAAUGUUGCAUCCAUCCAUUACUAGGAACUAGCCGCCAAGAUGGUUAAUUUUUCUCAGCAAGUACACACAGAACACAUCAUGCAUUGUUCCAGGUUGCAGCACCAUCAGUAUUUCCCAGCAGGCAGACCAUGUAGUGCCAAUCUUUUAGUAAGAAAGAACAGCAAUUAUAGGAGCAUAUUGGUUACAUUAGUCUAUUAAUUUGAGUUUGUUUGACAACAUAAUCAAAUAUCAUUAGAAGUGUUAAUUACCUGUUAUUUGAUUCAUUUGCAACCCAUUGAAGUUUCAAUAUAAUUUUUGUUCAUAAAAGACAUGUGCACAAAAGAACGAGUGAAGCUGCUGUAACAAUCAGUCAAGUUCUAGCGCUUAUUAAAAGAAGAAAUGGCAUACAUCAUUCUAUUAGAAGAAUCGUUAGAAAGACUUCCAUUAAGCAAAGGAUUAUAUGUAAAAACCUCACUAAUCUCUUUAUCUUGCUUUCACACAAGGUCUAGGACUAGAUCCAUUGACCCCUUUGCUCUCGAAAUUGAGCACCCUUCGGUUGUUCAUAAAGCAAGCUGCCAUGAAAAAGUGUACACCAAGGAGGGCUCCAGUUGAAGUGGCCAACCCAUCCAGUCCAGCUUCUAAAACCAGAAGCAAGAAGAAACUUUAGCUUGAAUAAAUUAUAUGGAAGAACUACUACUUUUGAUAUAAUUUAAGACAUGUAUCGUUUGGUGUGAUGAAAACUAGUGAACUACUACUUUUUAUGUGUGGACUUAGUGUGGUGAACUACAACUUUAAAUGUUGAUGAUCUUUUUAUGUGUGGACUUAGGGUGUUGAACUACUACUUUAAAUGUUACUCAUAUAAACUUGUUGCUAUGGAUCCAAUUUAGUACUAAUGUCAUGUAUUUUUUUUCUAUUGUAGUCCCAUGUUUUUCAUAAUUUACUGAUUAAUUUGGGCAUUUUUCUGAUUUUUUUUCUAAAUUAUCCUGAUUUUAUGUGAAUUUUUGGAUUUAUUUACGAAUUUUCCUGUAUUUUUUAGAAUUAUCCGGAUUUAUGAGCCAUUUUUUCUGAAGUUUUGUGAAUUUAUAGACAUUUUAUAAUUUAAUUACGAAUUUUCAUACUUAUUUCCUGAUUUAAAUUAAUUUUGUCAUUUUUUAAAUUAUUUACUGAUUUUCUAUAUUUAUUUACUGAUUUAAAUUUGUUUCUGUCAUUUAAUUACUAAGAUGGGCAAAAAGGUCUUUUUACAUCUCCAUUUGAUACCGUUAAGCCUCCAUCCAUCCAAAAUGGCGUAUAGGUAAAAGAAAAUUGGGUGGAUGGCAUACAAGUGCCUACAAACUUUUUAGUGGCACACAGGUAACCACCAUCUUUUUUUAAUGGCACGUAGGUAAAGGACUCCCUUGUCGAAGAUGGUGGCUUAGGCGGCUUCGGCGUGGGCGAAGGAAACGUCUGAAGCGGCGUCCGGCGUGGGCGACCGAGGAAGCGAUGGAGGCGGGGGCCGAGGCGGCUUCCAGGAGAGGAGGCGGCCGAGGUGGGGACGGUUGGUUGGCAGCGGCCGAGGCGGGAUGGUGUAGGCGGCGUUCGGGAGAGGAGGCGGCCGACGGAGGCAACGGUCGUGGCUAGGAUGGCUGGAGACGGCGGAGGCGGCGAGUGGCGACGUAGGCGGCAUACGUGGUGACGGAGGCGGAGAUGGAGGAGGUGCAUGCAGGGAAUAGAUUGGAGGAUGUCGGGCUGAGUAGAUUGCAGGC